rnacentral:rRNA from 1 species
CCUCAAGUCAGAUGGGACUACCCGCUGAACUUAAGCAUAUCAAUAAGCGGAGGAAAAGAAACUAACAAGGAUUCCCCUAGUAACUGCGAGUGAAGCGGGAAAAGCUCAAAUUUGAAAUCUGGCUGCUUUGCAGUCCGAGUUGUAAUUUCGAGAAGUGUUACCCGUGCUGGACCGUGCAUAAGUCUUCUGGAAAGGAGCAUCAUAGAGGGUGAAAAUCCCGUCUUUGGUACGGACUCCCAGUGCAUUGUGGUAUGCUCUCAACGAGUCGAGUUGUUUGGGAAUGCAGCUCAAAAUGGGUGGUAAAUUCCAUCUAAAGCUAAAUAUUGGUGUGAGACCGAUAGCGAACAAGUACCGUGAGGGAAAGAUGAAAAGAACUUUGGAAAGAGAGUUAAACAGUACGUGAGAUUGUCAAUAGGGAAACGCUUGAAGUCAGUCGCGUUGCUCUGGGAUCAGCCUUCCUUUUGGUUGGUGUAUUUCCUGAGUGAUGGGUCAGCAUCAGUUUUGACUGCUGGAAAAAGGCUUAGGGAAUGUGGCUCCUUCGGGAGUGUUAUAGCCCUUUGUCAUAUACAGUGGUUGGGACUGAGGAACUCAGCACGCCGCAAGGCAGGUCUUCGGACACUUUCGUGCUUAGGAUGCUGGCAU